CUCGCGAGGCCGCGGUCGCUGCGCGAAGACGCGAACAUCCGCGAGUUCCCGCGAUUAGUUAUCCGGGCCACCUCAGAGGCACUCCCUUUUUUGCCCUCCAGCGUGUACCGGUGGUCUCAUGUCCUUUCUCUGUGCUAUGCCAUCUAAGAGGCUGAAUACAUCCGGCUGUUCUCUGCAAGGCAAUGAAGCAGUCAGCUCCUACACCAGGACCUGGGGGUAAG
rnacentral:lncRNA from 1 species